CAGCCGCCGCGGGAAAACGUAGGGUGCGAGCGUUAAUCGGAAUUACUGGGCGUAAAGCGUGCGCAGGCGGUUAUAUAAGACAGAUGUGAAAUCCCCGGGCUCAACCUGGGACCUGCAUUUGUGACUGUAUAGCUAGAGUACGGUAGAGGGGGAUGGAAUUCCGCGUGUAGCAGUGAAAUGCGUAGAUGUGCGGAGGAACACCGAUGGCGAAGGCAAUCCCCUGGACCUGUACUGACGCUCAUGCACGAAAGCGUGGGGAGCAAACAGGAUUAGAUACCCCCGUAGUCCCUGUCUCUUAUAC
rnacentral:rRNA from 1 species